rnacentral:piRNA from 1 species
UGAGCACAUCAAGCACACCUCUGGC